UGACGGUACCUGACUAAGAAGCUCCGGCUAAAUACGUGCCAGCAGCCGCGGUAAUACGUAUGGAGCAAGCGUUAUCCGGAUUUACUGGGUGUAAAGGGAGCGUAGACGGAACAGCAAGUCUGAUGUGAAAUGCGGGGGCUCAACUCCUGAACUGCAUUGGAAACUGUUGAUCUUGAGUGCCGGAGAGGUAAGCGGAAUUCCUAGUGUAGCGGUGAAAUGCGUAGAUAUUAGGAGGAACACCAGUGGCGAAGGCGGCUUACUGGACGGUAACUGACGUUGAGGCUCGAAAGCGUGGGGAGCAAACAGGAUUAGAUACCCUG
rnacentral:rRNA from 1 species